rnacentral:rRNA from 1 species
UGGCGGACGGGUGAGUAAUGUCUGGGAAACUGCCUGAUGGAGGGGGAUAACUACUGGAAACGGUAGCUAAUACCGCAUAAUGUCGCAAGACCAAAGAGGGGGACCUUCGGGCCUCUUGCCAUCGGAUGUGCCCAGACGGGAUUGGCUUGUUGGUGGGGUAACGGCUCACCAAGGCGACGAUCCCUAGCUGGUCUGAGAGGAUGACCAGCCACACUGGAACUGAGACACGGUCCAGACUCCUACGGGAGGCAGCAUG